rnacentral:rRNA from 1 species
GAUGAACGCUGGCGGCGUGCCUAAUACAUGCAAGUCGAGCGAACAGACGAGGAGCUUGCUCCUCUGACGUUAGCGGCGGACGGGUGAGUAACACGUGGAUAACCUACCUAUAAGACUGGGAUAACUUCGGGAAACCGGAGCUAAUACCGGAUAAUAUAUUGAACCGCAUGGUUCAAUAGUGAAAGACGGUUUUGCUGUCACUUAUAGAUGGAUCCGCGCCGCAUUAGCUAGUUGGUAAGGUAACGGCUUACCAAGGCAACGAUGCGUAGCCGACCUGAGAGGGUGAUCGGCCACACUGGAUCUGAGACACGGUCCAGACUCCUACGGGAGGCAGCAGUAGGGAAUCUUCCGCAAUGGGCGAAAGCUUGACGGAGCAACGCCGCGUGAGUGAUGAAGGUCUUCGGAUCGUAAAACGCUGUUAUUAGGGAAGAACAAAUGUGUAAGUAACUAUGCACGUCUUGACGGUACCUAGUCAGAAAGCCACGGCUAACUACGUG